rnacentral:rRNA from 1 species
GCUGUCUCUUUUUAAUUAAAGGUUGAAUUUAAUUUUUAAGUUAAAAAGCUUAAAUUUUUUUAAAGGACGAGAAGACCCUAUAGAGUUUUAUAUUUGUUUUUGUAGAAUGAGUUUAAUUUAUUUAUCUAUAAAAUUACAUAUUUUAUUGGGGCGAUAGGAAAAUUUAUUAAACUUUUUUAUUUUUUUUACAAUGAUUAUUGAUUUAUUGAUCCUAAUUUU